ACACCCGCCCUCGGGCCCCCUCCGGCCCGGCCGGCCGCCCCCACAACCACAGCAGCGCCGCGCACAGCGCCAGUCCCGCCGCCACCAGCGAUGGAUGUUCCUCUCAUAAUACAGCUGUGGCAGUCGGAGUACUGGGGGGAUUCCUCUACUACUACUACUGAAAAUGCCAAUAUGUUACAGAUGAUCAACUUGGAACUUCCCAUACACAAAGCUAUGAUUGGUUAGUCCUGAAGCAAUACCAAGUCCAGUUUUAGCAUUCAAUAGUAGCCUUUUCAAUCAAAAUCUACCCUUGCAACACAUAGAGCAACCCCACUCUGGUAGCCAAGUUGUAAUCACACUGACACUGACUAGUGCUAUUUUGGCAGCACAAUGGAGAUUUCAUUGGCAGGUUUUCAAAACUGUGCCAGUGGUUAUUACAGUGACAAGAGUUCCUAAUGUACUCUUCUUCCUGAGCUACCAUUACAACUGAACACACAGGGCACAAUUCUUCUCAUAACUCUACUGACUUUGAAUGCAUCAUCUUCAACUUCAGUGGAGUUGGAUGAAUUUGUUUAUCCUAGGCAGCUCUCACCUUAUUAUCUAAGGGCCCCAAUCCUGCACCCAUAAAAUUAUGAUGAUGUUGGAAUAUCUUCAUGGACCAGACGAGAUCAUCAUUCAGACCUAUUUUGCAGACUGGUUUGACAUGCUGCCUAUGCUCUGAAUAAGAUACAUCACAGAAUGCACAGAACAGAUCAUGUUUCUUGGAGAAGGACCUGGGUGAAGAAAACCACUGUGCAGACCCCAGUGCUGUGCAAUCUAUAAGUUACUAUUCUGUUACCCAAUGGCUGAAUCUUAAGAUUCUUUUCUUUGUUAUUUUACUAUCAUUGUAACCAAAGAUGUUCGAUAUUGUGCUACCCUUGGAAGUAAUUCCUGUAUUUUCUGCCACUGAGUAUAUGGUAACAAUGAAAUUUCUGUUACCUUGACCUGCAGAUCACAAGUAACUAUAGGUGUGGGCAACCUGGCUGAAUGAGAUAAUAAAGUCCUGAAUGUUUACUCAAAACUCUCACCCAAAUGAAACCUUAUUGACUUUUUUCAGUUAGGGAAAAGUCAGAUAAAGAAACAAAUUUAUUCAGGGCAAUGCCCUGUUUCCCUCCCCAAGCACUUGCUCACACAGAACCAUGGUGAGGCCUCUUCUUUUGCAAUCUACUUUCAUUCCCAUUCAUAAUAUCCUACAGUUACUUUCUUAUGAUAUUUACACUACCUUAACAAUAAGGUAAAUUGCUUCUUGCAUUUGUUUCCUUGUCUGGAUUAUAACUAUGUUGUGUCACAUGGCUGAUUAAAUGAGCGAUUGGCUCCUCUGAGCUACCAGACAGUAAUUUAGCACCACUAGUUCUGUACAACUGUACCUUCAGCAGUCUGUUAAAUUACUAACAUUUUACUUGCUUUGUAGAAGUAGCAUUCUAUGUUAAUAAACAUGGAUUUGAUUUGCA